AGAAAUGAUUUCAAGCAUAACUUAAUCUUGUUGCAGUCGAUAAAGGUGUUUAGAAUGCAGUUUCAUUCAUUUCUUAUUUACUUUUUGAUAAACAAUGCGUCUCUUAACGUUCAUGGAAUGUUCAUUCGCGAUAAAACCGCGUGAAACACCGUUAAAAGCGCAAGAAAACGUAGUUUAAUUGGUCUAACCUGUAUUUAUCUAAAAAUCAUAGCCAAAAAUCAUACUUUCAUACAAAAAUGUUACCAAAACGCUUAGAAAUCACACAGUGCAGUUUAAUAUUAUCAGUAUUAUUGUUAACUUUAGUACAAAUCUCAUUCCAACAACAUAUUUUUGAGGAAACGUGUGAAUAUAAGGUUAAGAUAAAUAAUAACACAGAAAGUUUAAGAUUUGCGUCGCAAGUGCACAACAUCACAAGCAGGUUCUAUGAUGUUUUUAUUAAUUUCUGUAAGCCACUUCAGAAUUUCAUGCCAAUUUGUGAUGGAUCAUCACAAGUUUGCAUUAUCAAGAAGCAAAACAAGAGAAAUAUGUUGAAAAAACCAGUUGUUAUGUUUCAAUCAGAUGUUGAAAUCAAUAAUAUAACUAAAGAGCAAACAAUUUUCAUGAAAACAAAUAGUUUGGGUCCUUGUCAAGAUGGGAAUUAUCAGUUUACAGUUAGAAUUGACAAAACAAUUAAUGUGAAUGAAAUAUCAUAUGUUGAUGAUUGUUUGAUGGAAAUUAAGUUUACUCAUCCAGAUAUUCUCCUUCGUGAUGCUGCAUUCUCUUUUCAUGGACUGAUUAUUGAUUUAACACCUUUAAAAUUAAUCCCUCAACAAAUUUUGACAGUAAACAAUAGCAGAAUAGCACUGGCAGCCUUCCAUCCAGCUGAAUCAUGCAGAAGUUCAAGUAGAAUCUGUGAAAUUACACAAAAAGAUAAAGUUAUUCCGAUUGCUGAUGUUCAACACGUCCUCUAUGAUGAUACGAAGAAUCAAAUCACAAUUCGUGGGCGUAAAUCGUCUGGGAAAGGAAAAAUCAAGAGUGAGAUAUUGCUGCGGUGUAAUUGGAGCGCCAUCUUUGAGAAUCCACGCAAACAACUUGCAAAUUACAAAUAUACAAUUGAUUCAAAGUUUGGAUGUGUAAAAACACCACUCAACUGCACGAUUGUUGAUAUUCAAAAUUACAAAUAUGAUUUAUCAUCACUCGAUAAUCCACUAGGUUGGAUUGUAAAAAACACAUCAAACACUGAAACCAUGAAAAUGAACAUCUGCGGAGUGUUAAAACAUUUUGAAAGGUCAGAAUGUUCAGAAACUUAUUCACAAGUCUGCUCACAACAAAAUGGCGCUGGUGGCCAUUUUGUAAACUAUGGAUCACUACACAAUGGUCUAAAAAUGAAUGGAGAAGAUAUUAUUCUUACUUAUUCACAUGGAUCACAAUGUUUAACGAAUUCAGAUGAAUAUUUAUCAACUUCAAUAACAUUUCAAUGCUUUUCUGAAGAAUUCGGACCUGUUUUAAGUUCUUUUGCGAAUUGCACAGCUAAAAUCAACUGGAAAACGCCGGCUGCUUGUACUAAAGGUUUAUCUGAUGAUUCUAGUUUUAGUUAUGCUAGAAUCAUCAAAGAUGUGAGACAAACUAAAGAAUUAUCAUGUAGUUUGUAUCAUAAUGGACAAAUGUUUCGAUUUGGACGCUUGAUAUCAAACAAUAUGACUUUUGAGAGUAGAUUGGUGAAAAAUCGACGAUAUUUUGUGAAUAUUUGCCAACCGAUUGCGAUUACAAGAGAAAAUUUCUAUUGUGGCGUGACUGGUGCAUGUAUAGAUGAACAAAAUGAGAUUGAUUUGAAAAACGGUAAGGUUUUCCAUCAAAACCAUGAAAAUAAGUUGUAUUUAUGUAUUUUUUAUGUAUUUUCUUUAGAUUUAAGUGGAUUGGUUCAUUGACAGAGCCGAAAAUUGAAAAUGACGAGAUAAUAAUACGUUAUGAAGGUGGUUUGUGUCAAAAUUCAACUCAUACAGAGAUUGUGAUCACCUUCAACUGUUCCAAGACACAGGAACCUCUAAAAUUAUCAAAAGAAACAGUUUGUCGUGCAGAUUUUACAUGGAACACACCUUUGGCAUGCAAACACAAAGUGCAACGCUCACUAAACUGCAAUGUUGCUGUGCCCAGUGGAGAAAUCAUCGAUUUUGGUAAAAUUGACAUCAGAACCAGACAUUUUCAUGUCGAACAAGCUGAAAUGAUAUACGAUGUUGAUCUGUGUUCGGAUAAUGUACUUCUAUUGACUAAUUCAACACAAACAGAAAGUGGAAUAAUCAACACCACAAGAUAUUUAAUUGAAAAGGAAUGUCAAUAUUCAAUGAUUUACAAGUUUACGAAGAAGAUACAAUGUCUUGAAAGCAUAAAAGUUAAUUUAUUAUGCAAUGAGAUUGAUAACAAUCCAGAUCAUCUUGAUUUACCUACAGAUUUGAAUAAUCAGUCCAAUUGUCCAAGUGAGUUUGUAAUCUCAUUGAAAUCUUCGUAUAUUUGUGAUGUUAUUCAGUGUAAUAAGAAUAAGAAGACAGAAAUUCAGAAAGACACUGAAAAAUACACAAAAACAAAGGAUGUAGAAGUUUCUACAUGUAAAAUUGUUAAUACACAUCAAAAUAAGAAAGAUUUUUAUAUCAAUGACCUGAAACCAUUGAUAAACAAGAAAACAACCGUUGUUUAUACGCUUGGAAGCACAAAGAAGCUUAAAACCUGUGAUGGAUUCGUUUGUAAGAAUAAUUUAACUUUAGCAACGCUCGAAAUCUGUCCAAGUAGUAAUUUAAUACAAAAAGAAAAGACAUUGCAGCUAUUUUUGAUGGGACCUAGUUGUAACAAAGAUUAUUAUAAAGUGAAACUUAAUUUGCACUGCGCAAGCACCAAGACUGAAGAAACGUUCGAAUUACUCAAAGAUGAAGAGUGUUCUGCUGAGUUUCAGGUAGAAACCAAUGAUGUUUGUGUUUUAUUCGAUGAAGUUAUCACUUCGACAUCACAGGGUAAUGUUACAGGUUAUAUUUUAGGAUUACUUUCCUGCUUGAUUGUUUUGAUCAUUGCAGUCUUAAUUUGGAAGUAUAGGUUGUGCACUGGUAAAUUAUCUUGUAGAGAUUCGAGUUACAGCCCAACUCAAUCAACUCUUUUGUAUGUGAAGAAUGAUUAAUCAAAAAUCAUCAAGCUGUAUGGAAAUUUUGAUGACAUGAAGGAGGUUUUGAGUCUUUUUAUGUUUUGUUUAAUUGAUUAAUGUGUUCCUAACUAAUUUGUACUUAUUUUUAAUUGUUUUAUGUGUAAGUUGAUAGACAUAACCUAUAAUGGACGCAACAAGGUAAAAACAAAGUUAAAAUGCUACUAAAAGUGACAAAAAGCAUGAAUUCUGUCCGAAAAUUCAUCUUUAAAUAUACUUUAUUUAUUUAUCAUCGUA